CCGAGUUUACGACUCCCAAACCCAAUGUGAACGUUACCAAACUGUUGCCUCGGCGGGAUCUCUGCCCCGGGUGCGUCGCAGCCCCGGACCAAGGCGCCCGCCGGAGGACCAACCAAAACUCUUAUUGUAUACCCCCUCGCGGGUUUUUUACUAUCUGAGCCAUCUCGGCGCCCCUCGUGGGCGUUUCGAAAAUGAAUCA
rnacentral:misc_RNA from 1 species